CAUUCCCCUAGUAACUGCGAGUGAAGCGGGAAAAGCUCAAAUUUAAAAUCUGGCGGUUAUGCCGUCCGAGUUGUAAUCUGGAGAAGCGUUUUCCGUGUUGGACCGUGUACAAGUCUCUUGGAACAGAGCGUCAUAGAGGGUGAGAAUCCCGUCUUUGACACGGACUACCAAUGCUUUGUGAUACGCUCUCAAAGAGUCGAGUUGUUUGGGAAUGCAGCUCAAAAUGGGUGGUAAAUGCCAUCUAAAGCUAAAUAUUGGCGAGAGACCGAUAGCGAACAAGUACCGUGAGGGAAAGAUGAAAAGCACUUUGGAAAGAGAGUUAAACAGUACGUGAAAUUGUUGAAAGGGAAACGCUUGAAGUCAGUCGCGUUGUCUGGGACUCAGCCUUGCUUCUGCAUGGUGUAUUUCCUGGUUAACGGGCCAACAUCGAUUUUGGUCGGUGGAUAAAGUCGAGAGGAAUGUGGCACCUUCGGGUGUGUUAUAGCCUCUUGUCGGAUGCAUCGACUGGGAUCGAGGAUCGCAGCACGCCUUUUUGGCCGGGGUUCGCCCACGUAACGUGCUUAGGAUGUUGGCAUAAUGGCUUUAAUCGACCCGUCUUGAAACACGGACCAAGGAGUCUAACAUGCCCGCGAGUGUUAGGGUGGAAAACCCUUGCGCGUAAUGAAAGUGAAAGUUGGGACCUCUGUCAUGGGGGGCACCGACGCCCGGCCUUGAACUUCUGUGACGGCGCCGCGGUAGAGCGUGUAUGUUGGGACCCGAAAGAUGGUGAACUAUGCCUGAAUAGGGCGAAGCCAGAGGAAACUCUGGUGGAGGCUCGUAGCGAUUCUGACGUGCAAAUCGAUCGUCAAAUUUGGGUAUAGGGGCGAAAGACUAAUCGAACC
rnacentral:rRNA from 1 species